CACCGCGGUUAAACGGGAGGCUCAAGUUGAUAGACAUCGGCGUAAAGCGUGGUUAGGGGCCCAACUUUAACACUAAAGCCGAACGCUCUUAGAACAGUUAUACGUACUGAGAGUAAGAAGAUCAAUUACGAAAGUAGCUUUAUUCAAACCUGACUCCACGAAAGCUAAGGCA
rnacentral:rRNA from 1 species